UGAGUAAGUGGGUCCCCAGUUCUCCCAGGAACAUGGAUCUCUGAGGGAAUUGCCCCCACAUCCUCCCUCAUUUAGCAAAGUUGCCAUGAGCCACUUCCAUAGGAACACAGAUUGGGAAAAGUACUGAAAUUGAAGUUUUGAUAAACUAUGUCUGAUAUGCUUCAGUGAACAAAGUCUGGGAGAGAAGAACAUUUUGGUGAGGUUGGACAUCUGGAAUGUUGAAUUUAUGAACCACAAGGACAUUUUGCAAAAACCUGAAGAUAAAGAAGAGGCGAACAAAGACUCCAUCUAUGUGUUAAAAGUUCCUACUUUUAGCUAAAGACUAAAAAGAUGGGCUAAUUAACAUAAGAAAUGAGAAAUCAGUAACUGGUAGAGGAUAGAAUAAUAUUAAAUGAAAGAAAAUUAUAAGAGAAUUUUGGAAUU